CGCAUGAUUUUUGCUUAAAUGGGGGAUUUGAGAAAACGCGUGAUUUUCGUUAAAUGUUGGAUUCUCGAAGAGAAAACGCGUGAUUUUCGCUUAAAUGGGGGAUUUGAGAAAAGAAAACGCGUGAUUUUCGGGUUAAAUGUGGGAUUUGAGAAAACGCGUGAUUUUCGCUUAAAUGUUGGAUUCUCGAAGAGAAAACGCGUGAUUUUCGCUUAAAUGGGGGAUUUCUGAAAAGAAAACGCGUGAUUUUCGGGUUAAAUGGAAGAUUCCUGAAGAGAAAAUGCGUGUUUUUUGCUUAAACGGCGGAUUUGUGAAGAGAAAACGCGUGUUUUUCGCUUAAAUGGGGGAUUUGCGAAGAGAAAACGCGUGGUUUUCUGGUUAAAUGGGGCAUUUCUGAAGAGAAAACUCGUGUUUUUUUGUGUUAAUUGGGGGAUUUGCAAAGAGAAAAUGCAUGAUUUUCGCUUAAAUGUUGGAUUCUCUGAGAGAAAACGCGUGAUUUUCGCUUAAAUGGGGGAUUUCCGAAGAGAAAACGCAUGAUUUUCUGGUUAAAUGGGGGAUUUGAGAAAACGCGUGAUUUUCGUUAAAUGUUGGAUUCUCGAAGAGAAAACGUGUGAUUUUCGCUUAAAUGGGGGAUUUGAGAAAAGAAAACGCGUGAUUUUCAGGUUAAAUGGAAGAUUCCUGAAGAGAAGACACGUGAUUUUUGCUUAAAUGGCGGAUUUGUG
ensembl:lncRNA